rnacentral:rRNA from 2 species
UCCUUUUCUACUCAUGUAGAAAAGCUGAAAGACGGUUUACGCUGUCACUUACAGAUGGGCCCGCGGCGCAUUAGCUAGUUGGUGAGGUAACGGCUCACCAAGGCAACGAUGCGUAGCCGACCUGAGAGGGUGAUCGGCCACACUGGGACUGAGACACGGCCCAGACUCCUACGGGAGGCAGCAGUAGGGAAUCUUCCGCAAUGGACGAAAGUCUGACGGAGCAACGCCGCGUGAGUGAUGAAGGUUUUCGGAUCGUAAAACUCUGUUGUUAGGGAAGAACAAGUACAAGAGUAACUGCUUGUACCUUGACGGUACCUAACCAGAAAGCCACGGCUAACUACGUGCCAGCAGCCGCGGUAAUACGUAGGUGGCAAGCGUUGUCCGGAAUUAUUGGGCGUAAAGCGCGCGCAGGCGGUCCUUUAAGUCUGAUGUGAAAGCCCACGGCUCAACCGUGGAGGGUCAUUGGAAACUGGGGGACUUGAGUGCAGAAGAGAAGAGUGGAAUUCCACGUGUAGCGGUGAAAUGCGUAGAGAUGUGGAGGAUCACCAGUGGCGAAGCGACUCUUUGGUCUGUAACUGACGCU